UUGUUUCAUAAACCAGAUGUAUACUGAUACAUAAGGCAUUGUGUAUUGUUUCAUAAACCAAAUGUAUACUGAUACAUAAAGCGUUGUGUAUUGUUUCAUAAACCAGAUGUAUACUGAUAUACAAAGCAUUGUGUAUUGUUUCAUAAUCCAGAUGUAUACUGAUACAUAAAACACUGUGUACUGUUUCAUAAACCAGAUGUAUACUGAUACAUAAGGCAUUGUGUACUGUUUCAUAAAUCAGAUGUAUACUGAUACAUAAAGCAUUGUGUAUUGUUUCAUAAACCAGAUGUAUACUGAUACAUAAAGCAUUGUGUAUCGUUUCAUAAACCAGAUGUAUACUGAUACAUCAAGCGUUGUGUAUUGUUUCAUAAACCAGAUGUAUACUGAUACAUAAAGCAUUGUGUAUUGUUUCAUAAUCCAGAUGUAUACUGAUACAUAAGGCAUUGUGUAUUGUUUCAUAAACCAGAUGUAUACUGAUACAUAAGGCAUUGUGUACUGUUUCAUAAACCAGAUGUAUACUGAUACAUAAAGCAUUGUGUACUGUUUUAUAAAUCAGAUAUAUACUGAUACAUAAAACAUUGUGUAUUGUUUCAUAAACCAGAUGUAUACUGAUACAUUAAGCAUUAUGUAUUGUUUCAUAAACCAGAUGUAUACUGAUACAUAAAACACUGUGUACUGUUUCAUAAACCAGAUGUAUACUGAUACAUAAAGCAUUGUGUAUUGUUUCAUAAACCAGAUGUAUACUGAUACAUAAAGCAUUGUGUAUUGUUUCAUAAACCAGAUGUAUACUGAUACAUAAAGCGUUGUGUAUUGUUUCAUAAACCAGAUGUAUACUUAUACAUAAGGCAUUGUGUACGGUUUCAUAAAUCAGAUGUAUUCUGAUAUAUGAAGCAGUGUGCAUUGUUUCAUAAACCAGAUGUAUACUGAUACAUAAAGCAUUGUGUAUUGUUUCAUAAACCAGAUGUAUUCUGAUACCUAAAGCAAUGUGUAUUGUUUCAUAAACCAGGUAUAUACCGUUACAUAAAACACUGUGUACCGUUUCAUAAAUCAGGUGUAUACUGUUACCCAAAGCAUUGUGUAUUGAUUCAUAAACCAGAUGUAUACUGAUAUAUAAAGCAUUGUGUAUUGUUUCAUAAACCAGAUGUAUACUGAUACAUAAAGCAUUGUGUAUUGUUUCAUAAACCAGAUGUAUACUGA